CACCAAUGUACCUUAUUCUUGGCAGGUCCUAUCCUAGCAACCUAAUGCCUGCUCUUAUAGGAUUAAUCCACUUAAUUUAGGAAACCCUUCCUCUUGGAAAUCUCUGCAGUGCAAGGUUGAACAGGUGCCCUAAUCCAGGGCCCUGUUUAACCACGCACUGCAGAGAGUUCCAGGAGGGAGAAUUUUCCAAGUUAUUUUGCCUUGCAAAUAAUUUAUAUUUAUACUCUACUCACCGCUAUAUUGGGGCUUGUGGCGCCCACACCUUAUUCGUUUUAUUUUCCUGAUUGUUAAAAUGCCCACUAUGUCUAAG